GAUGAACGCUAGCUACAGGCUUAACACAUGCAAGUCGAGGGGCAGCACAGUGCAGCAAUACAUGGGUGGCGACCGGCGCACGGGUGCGUAACGCGUAUCCAACCUUCCCGUUACUCAGAGAUAGCCUUCCGAAAGGGAGAUUAAUACUUGAUGGUGUUUGAAUUCCGCAUGUUAUUCAAACUAUAGAUUUAUCGGUAACGGAUGGGGAUGCGUGACAUUAGAUAGUAGGCGGGGUAACGGCCCACCUAGUCUACGAUGUCUAGGGGUUCUGAGAGGAAGGUCCCCCACACUGGAACUGAGACACGGUCCGGACUCCUACGGGAGGCAGCAGUGAGGAAUAUUGGUCAAUGGUCGGAAGACUGAACCAGCCAAGUAGCGUGAAGGAUGAAGGUUCUAUGGAUUGUAAACUUCUUUUAUACGGGAAUAAAACCACCUACGUGUAGGUGCUUGUAUGUACCGUAUGAAUAAGCAUCGGCUAACUCCGUGCCAGCCGCCGCAGUAAAAC
rnacentral:rRNA from 1 species